UUGAGCUGUGACAUUUUAUUGCAAGGCCCAGGGAGCAGCCCAUGCCGCAGGGAGUGAGUGGAGGCAGAGCUGGAACUGUCUUCAUUUCACACCACCUUUAUCAGGACACAUGAGAAUUUUCCCAGGGUAGACCUGAGACACAGCACCAAGGGCUGUGGGCUACAGCAAGGCCUCCUCCAGGCACAGGAUGAUGGAGUGUGAGGCCUGGGAGCAGAACAAGGCCAGGGGGUGGGUAUUGUUCCACCUCCAAGGCAAGAGGGCAGCUCCAGGGACCAGGGCAGGAGGCAGCAGAGCCCCAGGAGGUAAAGGCCACAGCAGGAGCUCUGGAGAGUGAAGCCAGCCCUG